GUCGCCCUUCGUGGCAUAUGGUCAAAUGAAAAUAUACAGAGAAGAUUAGCAUGGCCCCUGCACUAAGGAUGACAUGUCUCAAUCAAAGAGCAGCUACCUAUUUUU
rnacentral:snRNA from 1 species